rnacentral:rRNA from 1 species
GGAAGCGAAACCGCGAGGUAGAGCAAAUCCCCAAAAAACCGGUACUCAGUUCGGAUUGCAGGCUGCAACUCGCCUGUAUGAAGUCGGAAUUGCUAGUAAUCGCGGAUCAGCAUGCCGCGGUGAAUACGUUCCCGGGCCUUGUACACACCGCCCGUCACACCAUGAGAGCCGGGAACACCCGAAGUCCGUAGUCUAACCGCAAGGAGGACGCGGCCGAAGGUGGGUUUGGUAAUUGGGGUGAAGUCGUAACAAGGUACC